AGCAGCCGCGGUAAUUCCAGCUCCAAUAGCGUAUAUUAAAGUUGUUGCAGUUAAAAAGCUCGUAGUUGAAUUUCGGGGUUAGUAGGUUGGUCAUGCCUCUGGUAUGUACUGGUCUCACUGAUUCCUCCUUCCUGAUGAGCCUUAAUGCCAUUAAUUUGGUGUUUUGGGGAAUUUGGACUGUUACUUUGAAAAAUUAGAGUGUUUAAAGCAAGCUAACGCUUGAAUACAUUAGCAUGGAAUAAUGAAAUAGGACGUUCGAUCCUAUUUUGUUGGUUUCUAGGAUUGACGUAAUGAUUAAUAGGGAUAGUUGGGGGCAUUAGUAUUCAAUUGUCAGAGGUGAAAUUCUUGGAUUUAUUGAAGACUAACUACUGCGAAAGCAUUUGCCAAGGAUGUUUUCAUUAAUCAAGAACGAAAGUUAGGGGAUCGAAGACGAUCAGAUACCGUCGUAGU
rnacentral:rRNA from 1 species